rnacentral:rRNA from 1 species
UACAGAGGUCUCAAGCGUUGUUCGGAUUCAUUGGGCGUAAAGGGUGCGCAGGUGGCGCGGUAAGUCGGAUGUGAAAUCCCGGGGCUCAACCCCGGAACUGCAUUCGAUACUGCUGUGCUAGAGUGCUGGAGAGGAGAUUGGAAUUUACGGUGUAGCAGUGAAAUGCGUAGAGAUCAUGAGGAAGACCAGUGGCGAAGGCGGGUCUCUGGACAGUUCCUGACACUGAGGCACGAAGGCCAGGGGAGCAAACGGG